GGACCCGCACAAGCGGUGGAGUAUGUGGUUUAAUUCGAUGCAACGCGAAAAACCUUACCAAGGUUUGAAAUCAUUUCAAAACUCUUUGAAAGAAGAGCCUCCUUCGGGAUGGAAUGACAGGUGGUGCAUGGCUGUCGUCAGCUCGUGUUGUGAAAUGUCAAGUUAAGUCUUGUAACGAGCGCAACCCAUGUCUUUUGUUGCUGUUUACAGUGCUUAAAAGAGACUGCCGCUCUACAGCGGAGGAAGGUGUGGAUGAUGUCAAGUCAGCAUGCCCCUUAUAUCUUGGGCUACACACGUACUACAAUGGUAGGGACAAUGAGUCGCAAACCUGCGAAGGCUAGCCAAUCUCAAAAACCCUAUCUCAGUUCGGAUUGUACUCUGCAACUCGAGUGCAUGAAGGUGGAAUCGCUAGUAA
rnacentral:rRNA from 1 species